UCCGUAGGUGAACCUGCGGAAGGAUCAUUACCGAGUUAGGGUUGCUGAAAUAUUGCGCCCGACCUCCAACCCUUUGCUUACUUGACCUUUUGUUGCUUCGGCAGGCCCGCUCGUAUGGGCCGCCGGGAGCCUAAAAGCCUCCUGGUCAGUGCCUGCCGAUGGCCCAUUUAUACCCUUGCUUAAACGUGUCGUCUAAGUAAUUGUUAAAACAAAUAACUAAAAACUUUCAACAACGGAUCUCUUGGUUCUGGCAUCGAUGAAGAACGCAGCGAAAUGCGAUAAGUAAUGCGAAUUGCAGAAUCCGUGAGUCAUCGAAUCUUUGAACGCACAUUGCGCCCUUUGGUAUUCCGAAGGGCAUGCCUGUUCGAGCGUCAUUAUCACCCCUCAAGCCCGGCUUGUUGUUGGACCGAGCCCCGUAAAACGGGCUGGCCCCAAAGAUAAUGACGGCGUCUGCUGAGGACUCCAGUACACUGAGCUUUCGGGCACGUACUUGGUCAGACUUCCAGACACCGUUUAACCAAAGAGGUGGGGGGUUUACCCUUCGCCUUUUACUUCUAAGGUUGACCUCGGAUCAGGUAGGGAAUACCCGGCUGGAACUUAAGGCAUAUCAAUAAGGCGGGAGGGAAGGUCGGACUGGCCAA
rnacentral:rRNA from 1 species